CCCACCCCCCAAGCAUGUCUCUGGCCAAGAGGACGAGCCCUCUUUUUGUGGGUUGCAGCUGAAACCUAUGUAGCCGGCAGCGGGGCUCACGUACCGGGCACUGUGCCAGGGGCCCCAUAGUGGAGACAGGAGGGCUGACUGGUAGCAGGCCCUAGUGCCAGGGGACAGACAUUUCUGGUUUAAAUGCUCCGCAUUAGUAGGAUGUUUGGAUCCCAGCCCUUGGAACUGACCCGAGGCAGAUUGAUGGAGGUUUACGAGGAUUUGGGGGUGCCUGCGUUGCUGGGGGUCAUGCUGGGGUUUGUUUCCUUUUUCCCUCUUCAAGGCGGGAGUUGUUAGUGCUCAGCGGAUAACUCAGUCUGAGGUCACUCGGCCAGGAGAGGCCACCUCUGACCCCAGCAGAGAGAGCAGCACAGCACCCAGAUGUCCAGGCCUCACUCAGCGUCUGCAGGCUCCCUGUGGGGACAGGCACGCCCUGCGGGCUGAAGGUCAAGGGCAGAGGUGUAGGUGGGGGCGGCAGGCAGGCCGCCGAGGACUCGGCGACCCGAGGGGUGACCGCAGCGCCUGUGGGCUGGACGUGCCCCCCUUCCCUCUGUCAGGGUUCUCAUUCUGCUUCCUGUCUCUGCAGCACAGAGGCUGCUGGCGGCCUUCCCCCAGGGCGGCGGCCGUGCGAUGGCUGGCUUGUGCGCGGGGCAGACGCUCCACCCAGACCUCCACUCAGGACAUCUCUGCAGGCCCGUCGGCCCCUCACUGUUCAACCUCCCCUCCAAGAAGCCGCCUGCAUGUAACCAUCUGCCUCUUGGGGAAUCCGACCUACAUCACCUGCAGCCUGCAGAAGACACCUGCUACCCAGCACCCCAGUCUUCUUUUGUCUCCCUGCUGCAGUGGUGACCCGCUCCCUCUACCUGGAACCACUCCUUGCAUUUUGUUCCAUCUCCCCCCACCCCCCCCACCUUAAACAACAGCCACAGAUCUUGAUUAUCCUGACCCCACCCCCCCAGCCUCCGUGAUCACUGCUUGUUCAUUGUUGCAUCCUUUUCCAAGAGUGUGCUCACAGACACAGCAGUAGGAACUCCAUAAUCGUCAUGUGCUUGCUGGCAAAUAUUUUAUACAUGAGAGAAGUCAUAAAUAAUAGAACAGCUGAAUACAUUCCCUCUGCCAUCACAAAUAAAGCAUCAUUAUAAAAUUGAAGCCCCUGAAGU
rnacentral:lncRNA from 12 species